ACGGGGCCCGCACAAGCGGUGGAGCAUGUGGUUUAAUUCGAUGAUACGCGAGGAACCUUACCUGGGCUCAAAUGUAUGUUUGACGUAUUCUGAAAGGGAUACUUCUUUCGGACAAUAUACAAGGUGCUGCAUGGUUGUCGUCAGCUCGUGCCGUGAGGUGUCGGGUUAAGUCCCAUAACGAGCGCAACCCUAUCAUUAGUUGCCAUCAGGUCAAGCUGGGGACUCUAAUGAAACUGCCUACGCAAGUAGUGAGGAAGGUGGGGAUGACGUCAAAUCAGCACGGCCCUUACGUCCAGGGCUACACACGUGCUACAAUGGCCGGUACAAAGGGCAGCUACCUGGUGACAGGAUGCUAAUCUCAAAAGCCGGUCUCAGUUCGGAUCGGAGUCUGCAACCCGACUCCGUGAAGCUGGAAUCGCUGGUAAUCGCGCAUCAGCCAUGGCGCGGUGAAUACGUUCCCGGGCCUU
rnacentral:rRNA from 1 species